UAGGCCCAAUACUUUUGGCCCAAUACUCUUGUUAUUUGAAGAUCCAAACCCAGUUUUUAAGUUGUCAUCAGCAAUUCUCUAUAUAUGUUCCCCCUUCUUAACCCUAGCCGCAACAACCUCACUCUCAUCUCUCUCAAAUCUUAAGAGCAACGGCGCUAAUUUUUUGAAGAAAAUUUUCUUCUGAAUUUUCUUCUGAGUUUUCGUCUCUCACAGCCCACCCUUCUUCAUCUUCACCGUCGUCUGUCCUUCAUUCAUUGUUUUAUUUUUAUUUAUUGAAUCUGUUUAAUGUUACAAGAUGUUGUUCUAGCAUUUUGAAGACAUGAAAAUCUACAAAGGUUUCUAGAUCUGAAAACGUUGCAAGUUGAAGAUGGAAAUGAUUUAGAAAGGAGGUUUAGUGGAGAUGUAAUUCAUUUUAGAUGGAUGUGGUUUAGAGUUUCACUGCAGUUGGCUUCCUCCCCUUUUACGUUCUGUUUUGAUAUGUUUAAAUAGAUAGAUGCAGUGAAAAGUUUAUUGAGUUUUUGUUUGUUUGUAAGGGUCAGCUGUUGCAAUUGUUUUGUUUUAUGUUUCAGGUGUUGCAAGUAUAUCAGAUGAGGAUUGGUUAUCAAUAUUCUUGGACAAACCAUAAAUUUAUGUUGGGCUGUAUUUACAUAUGAAUUUUAUUUGAAUUAAUCUUCUAUUUUUGUAUUAUUAAUGUAUUUUAAUUUAUGGACUUGAAUAGUUGUUUUAA